rnacentral:rRNA from 1 species
UACGUAGGUGGCAAGCGUUGUUCGGAAUCAUUGGGCGUAAAGGGCGCGUAGGUGGUUCUGUAUGUCUACCGUGAAAGCGUACGGCUCAACUGUAUUUUGUCGGUAGAAACUGCAGGACUUGAGGCUGGGAGGGGCUGGUGGAAUUCCCUGUGUAGCGGUGAAAUGCGUAGAGAUGGGGGAGAACACUCGUGGCGAAGGCGGCCAGCUAGACCAGUUCUGACACUGAGGCGCGACAGCGUGGGGAGCAAACAGG